AGAGUUUGAUUAUGGCUCAGGAUGAACGCUAGCUACAGGCUUAACACAUGCAAGUCGCGGGGCAGCAUAAAGGGAGCUUGCUUCCUUUGAUGGCGACCGGCGCACGGGUGCGUAACGCGUAUCCAACCUUCCCCUUGGUAGGGCACAGCCCGGCGAAAGUCGGAUUAAUUCCCUAUGUUGUCCGAUGCAGGCAUCUAAGUUGGACGAAAGAUUCAUCGCCGAGGGAUGGGGAUGCGUAGGAUUAGGUAGUCGGCGGGGUAACGGCCCACCGAGCCGUCGAUCCUUAGGGGUUCUGAGAGGAAGGUCCCCCACACUGGAACUGAGACACGGUCCAGACUCCUACGGGAGGCAGCAGUGAGGAAUAUUGGUCAAUGGUCGUAAGACUGAACCAGCCAAGUAGCGUGCAGGACGACGGCCCUAUGGGUUGUAAACUGCUUUUAUGCGGGGAUAAAGUGAGGGACGUGUCCCUUUUUGCAGGUACCGCAUGAAUAAGGACCGGGCUAAUUCCGUGCCAGCAGCCGCGGGUAAUACGGAAGGUCCGGGCGUUAUCCGGGAUUUAUUGGGUUUAAAGGGAGCGCAGGCGGCAUGUCAAGCGUGACGUUAAAUUUCGGGGCUCACCCCCCGUCUUGCGUCGCGAACUGUCGUGCUUGAGUGCGCCGUAUGCAGGGUGGAAUUCGUGGUGUAGCGGUGAAAUGCUUAGAUAUCACGAGGAACCCCGAUAGCGAAGGCAGCCUGCAGUGGCGUUACUGACGCUCAUGCUCGAAGGUGCGGGUAUCGAACAGGAUUAGAUACCCUGGUAGUCCGCACUGUAAACGAUGGAUGCCCGCUGUCCGGCCUUUUGUUGGUUGGGCGGCCAAGAGAAAUCGUUAAGCAUCCCACCUGGGGAGUACGCCGGCAACGGUGAAACUCAAAGGAAUUGACGGGGGCCCGCACAAGCGGAGGAACAUGUGGUUUAAUUCGAUGAUACGCGAGGAACCUUACCCGGGCUUGAACUGCAGCGGAAUGAUACAGAGAUGUUGAAGCCAGCAAUGGCCGCUGUGGAGGUGCUGCAUGGUUGUCGUCAGCUCGUGCCGUGAGGUGUCGGCUUAAGUGCCAUAACGAGCGCAACCCCUCUCGCCAGUUGCCAUCGGGUGAUGCCGGGCACUCUGGGGACACUGCCACCGCAAGGUGUGAGGAAGGUGGGGAUGACGUCAAAUCAGCACGGCCCUUACGUCCGGGGCUACACACGUGUUACAAUGGCGCGUACAGAGCGUUGGCCUCGGGUGACCGUGGUCUAAUCUUGAAAUCGCGUCUCAGUUCGGAUUGGGGUCUGCAACCCGACCCCAUGAAGCUGGAUUCGCUAGUAAUCGCGCAUCAGCCAUGGCGCGGUGAAUACGUUCCCGGGCCUUGUACACACCGCCCGUCAAGCCAUGAAAGCCCGGAGCGCCUGAAGUCCGUUUCCGCGAGGGUCGGCCUAGGGUGAUACGGGUGAUUGGGGCUAAGUCGUAACAAGGUAGCCAAGGGCGAUUCCACAGUGGAUAUCAAGCUUAUCGAUACCGUCGACCUCGAGGGGGGGCCCGGUACCCAGCUUUUGU
rnacentral:rRNA from 1 species